rnacentral:rRNA from 1 species
AGUGGCGCACGGGUGAGUAACACGUAGGUAAUCUACCUUUGGAUGGGGAAUAACAACCGGAAACGGUUGCUAAUACCGCAUAAUGCAGCGGCACCUAAUGGUGACAGUUGUUAAAGCGGGGGAUCGAAAGACCUCGCGUCUGAAGAGGAGCCUGCGGCGGAUUAGCUAGUUGGUAAGGUAACGGCUUACCAAGGCGACGAUCCGUAGCCGGCCUGAGAGGGCGGUCGGCCACACUGACACUGACAUACGGGUCAGACUCCUACGGGAGGCAGCAGUCGGGAAUUUUGGGCAAUGGGCGAAAGCCUGACCCAGCAACGCCGCGUGAAGGAUGAAAUCCCUCGGGAUGUAAACUUCGCAAGAACGGGAAGAAUAAGUAGGGGACAAUACCCCCUAUGAUGACGGUACCGUUUGUAAGCUCCGGCUAACUCCGUGCCAGCAGCCGCGGUAAUACGGGGGGAGCAAGCGUUGUUCGGAUUUACUGGGCGUAAAGGGCGCGUAGGCGGCCAGUGCAAGUCAGUUGUGAAAUCUCCGAGCUUAACUCGGAAAGGUCAACUGAUACUGCUCGGCUAGAGUGCGGAAGGGGCAACUGGAAUUCUUGGUGUAGCGGUGAAAUGCGUAGAUAUCAAGAGGAACACCUGCGGCGAAGGCGGGUUGCUGGGCCGACACUGACGCUGAGGCGCGAAAGCUAGGGGAGCGAACGGGAUUAGAUACCCCGGUAGUCCUAGCCUUAAACGAUGAAUGCUUGGUGUCUGGGGUUAUAUAGUCCCCGGGUGCCGUCGCUAACGCUUUAAGCAUUCCGCCUGGGGAGUACGGUCGCAAGACUGAAACUCAAAGGAAUUGACGGGGACCCGCACAAGCGGUGGAGCAUGUGGUUUAAUUCGACGCAACGCGAAGAACCUUACCUGGGCUA